rnacentral:rRNA from 1 species
UACGAAGGGGGCUAGCGUUGCUCGGAAUCACUGGGCGUAAAGGGUGCGUAGGCGGGUCUUUAAGUCAGGGGUGAAAUCCUGGAGCUCAACUCCAGAACUGCCUUUGAUACUGAGGAUCUUGAGUUCGGGAGAGGUGAGUGGAACUGCGAGUGUAGAGGUGAAAUUCGUAGAUAUUCGCAAGAACACCAGUGGCGAAGGCGGACUCACUGGCCCGGUACUGACGCUGAGGCGCGAAAGCGUGG